CUAAGAAAAUUUGGCUUGGAAGUUUGAAUAAUACCAUAUCAUAUAUGUACGACAAUCCAGAUCAUAUAUUGAGCCUCUAAAGUUGAAAUUUGAUAAUCUUGCUGUCAUUGGAAGGCUAAGAUAAAGAUCUACAAAAGUGUCACUCACAAGCCAAAGCUAGUUCUAACGGUUUAAGGCCCCAAAAUGCAUUUCAAGUUUCUACCUCUACACUUGAGUGGGAAUUCUCAUUAAGAGUAAAACUUAGAAGUUUAAACAUAUGUAAUUAGUGGGUUGGGUUUGUAAUUAACUGGAUUUAGGUUCAAUAACUUCAAUGUCUAUAAAUAAGUGUUAAUAGCUUGAGUUGUAGACAUAAUCCUCAUUUUUUAGAUUUUACACUUGUUUCUCGUGUAAGUUUCUCUCAA